rnacentral:rRNA from 2 species
CAGUCGACGCGUUGGCCCAAUUGAUUGAUGGUGCUUGCACCUGAUUGAUUUUGGUCGCCAACGAGUGGCGGACGGGUGAGUAACACGUAGGUAACCUGCCCAGAAGCGGGGGACAACAUUUGGAAACAGAUGCUAAUACCGCAUAACAGCGUUGUUCGCAUGAACAACGCUUAAAAGAUGGCUUCUCGCUAUCACUUCUGGAUGGACCUGCGGUGCAUUAGCUUGUUGGUGGGGUAACGGCCUACCAAGGCGAUGAUGCAUAGCCGAGUUGAGAGACUGAUCGGCCACAAUGGGACUGAGACACGGCCCAUACUCCUACGGGAGGCAGCAGUAGGGAAUCUUCCACAAUGGGCGCAAGCCUGAUGGAGCAACACCGCGUGAGUGAAGAAGGGUUUCGGCUCGUAAAGCUCUGUUGUUAAAGAAGAACACGUAUGAGAGUAACUGUUCAUACGUUGACGGUAUUUAACCAGAAAGUCACGGCUAACUACGUGCCAGCAGCCGCGGUAAUACGUAGGUGGCAAGCGUUAUCCGGAUUUAUUGGGCGUAAAGAGAGUGCAGGCGGUUUUCUAAGUCUGAUGUGAAAGCCUUCGGCUUAACCGGAGAAGUGCAUCGGAAACUGGAUAACUUGAGUGCAGAAGAGGGUAGUGGAACUCCAUGUGUAGCGGUGGAAUGCGUAGAUAUAUGGAAGAACACCAGUGGCGAAGGCGGCUACCUGGUCUGCAACUGACGCUGAGACUCGAAAGCAUGGGUAGCGAACAGGAUUAGAUACCCUGGUAGUCCAUGCCGUAAACGAUGAGUGCUAGGUGUUGGAGGGUUUCCGCCCUUCAGUGCCGGAGCUAACGCAUUAAGCACUCCGCCUGGGGAGUACGACCGCAAGGUUGAAACUCAAAGGAAUUGACGGGGGCCCGCACAAGCGGUGGAGCAUGUGGUUUAAUUCGAAGCUACGCGAAGAACCUUACCAGGUCUUGACAUCUUGCGCCAACCCUAGAGAUAGGGCGUUUCCUUCGGGAACGCAAUGACAGGUGGUGCAUGGUCGUCGUCAGCUCGUGUCGUGAGAUGUUGGGUUAAGUCCCGCAACGAGCGCAACCCUUGUUACUAGUUGCCAGCAUUAAGUUGGGCACUCUAGUGAGACUGCCGGUGACAAACCGGAGGAAGGUGGGGACGACGUCAGAUCAUCAUGCCCCUUAUGACCUGGGCUACACACGUGCUACAAUGGACGGUACAACGAGUCGCGAACUCGCGAGGGCAAGCAAAUCUCUUAAAACCGUUCUCAGUUCGGACUGCAGGCUGCAACUCGCCUGCACGAAGUCGGAAUCGCUAGUAAUCGCGGAUCAGCAUGCCGCGGUGAAUACGUUCCCGGGCCUUGUACACACCGCCCGUCACACCAUGAGAGUUUGUAACACCCAAAGUCGGUGG